AUGGUAGAACACGACGGGCGGGACAGCCAGGCCAGUGUCCUUGAGGAAGGGGACUACCUGCGGGCGCUCGGCGAGGUCGCGGUAGAAGGCGUACUCCGCCUCGUAGUCGUGGAGGUCCAGCUCGUUCUUCUGGUUGCUGUGGUAAUGGUGCUUGGCGUCUGCCACCUUCCCGAAGCCGAACACGCUCACCCUGUCGCACACCCCCACCGCGACCAUGAUGGCCUGCAUCCCGGACGAGUAGUGGAACAGCGCCGCGUCGUGCGCGCCGUUCCAGUCCUCGACGGCGCGGCCCGUCUCGGCGACGAAGCGGCGGAGCGAGUAGUACUUGACGAUGCGCGCGCAGAGGACGUCGAGGCGAGGGUCGGUGAUGGAGAUGGGGGCGUCGUGGGUGGCGAGGGAGGAGGCGUUGCAGGCGGCGACGUCGAGGAAGUGCGCGGCCUGGCAGAUGUAGAGGAGCACGGGGACGCCGCUGCCGUAGGGGUGGCAGAAGCAGCCGGGGCGGCGCGCGCAGAGGUGGAGUAUGUUGCUGUUGAUGAAGGAGAGGUUGGUCUUGGCGCCGACGUGCGCGGUGUAGCCGACGACGCGGGCGUUGUUGAGGCGGAAGACGGCGUGGUGGGAGUCGAUGAGGGCGCCGUGGGCGUGGCGGAGGAGGAUGCCGCUGUUGCCGACGACGGCGCAGGAGGGGAUGCGGGCGGGGAGGGCGAGCACGGCGGGGAGGUCGCGGAGCACGGCGGGGUCGUAGCGGCGGAGGCGGUGCCAGGAGCGGAGCGCGCGGCGGAGGGCGGGGUCGAGGAGGAGCUCCUCGCGCGGGAGCGGGUGGAGGAGGGAGUCGGCGUGGUCGCGGUCCGCGUGGCCGCGGCGGUGGACGGGGAACUGGUGGUGGCGGAGGUGGAGCGGGUGGAGCCGGUCGCGGCGCCAGGCGCGGGCGCGGGCGCGGCCCGAGGCCGGGAGGCGGCCCUCGAGGAGGUCGUCGACGUCGCGGCGCAGGGACGGCUCGGAGCCGUCGAGGGCGGCGAGGCGGAGGAGCGUGGCGUUGAGGCGCGCGGGAUCGAGCGGCGGCGGCGGCGGGGCGAGCGCGGGGGCCGGCGGGGCCAGCGCCCGGCGGAGCGCGGAGGGGAAGGAGGCCGCGCCGCAGAGCACGACGAGGAGGAGCGCCGCGAAGGGCCCCCGCAGCGGCCGCUUCAUGGCCGCCGCCGCAGCAGCCGGGGGCUAAGUGGGCCGGGGCCGCAUCGGGGGAUGAUGCGCAUCUGGGGGGUGCGAGCGCGAGCCCGAGCCGAUCGAGGUCCGGGCGGCCGGGGGCGCGAUGGACGGGUUCGGGUACGGCGAGGUGUGGGUAGGAGCGAGCGAGAGUGA
rnacentral:rRNA from 1 species